UCUUUCCUUGAAUCCAAAAUUAGUCUAAAAGUCUUCCGAUAAAUCCAACCAAAUAUACCAAUUAGCAGGUAACAAGCACAUUGCUGCCAGAUCUGUCUCUGUUGUUUUUCCCCAAACCCUUUCCUUUCAAGGAUGAAUGGACAAAUUUACAAUUACCAAAAAUAACACUGGGCCAAAACCCUUCUACCCGUUGAUAAUGAAAUUGAUCCGAUAAAUGAAACAAGAAAAGAACCUGGUUUUAAACUUCUACAUCAUUGAGAUAUGAGGAGCACUAGAAUCUGGGAAGUGUAAAAUAUACCUAUGAAGUUUGCUGUUUAGAGGAAAUACAAUGUAGACACCUGAAACCCGAGGAAGAAAUAUAUCAACAUGCAGUUCUUCACAAACUUUAUGCAAGAAUCCAUCACCUAGCUUUAAUCCAACCAAGUAAAGUGCUGGUGCUGAAGUAGUGACCUUUCUAUAUGGUUGUUGGUUGGUUGCUAUGUUUGAUUUCCAAAUUAUUCAACCAUGAAGGGAUCCAAUUUGUUUGAUUUCUUCUAGCGUACAGUGGUGUUAUUGGGUG